AUGCCGGGUGUUCCGAAGGAUUUCGCCGAGCACAAGCUACAUGUCCGAGCCGACGCGAAGCCGGUCAAGCAGCCUCUCCGCCGACUGUCAGAAGAGAAGAGAAGAAUCGUAGGAGAAGAGAUAGCCCGGCUCCUUGCCGCCGGCUUUAUUAUGGAAGUGUUUUUUCCAGAGUGGCUUGCCAACCCAGUCUUGGUGUUGAAGAAAAACAACAAAUGGCGUAUGUGUAUAGACUACACUAGCCUCAACAAGGCCUGCCCCAAAGAUCCGUUUGCUCUGCCAUGGAUUGAUCAAGUAAUAGACUCCACAGCUGGAUGCGAGCUGUUGAGUUUCUUGGAUGCCUACUCAGGGUACCACCAGAUUAAGUUGGACCCAGCAGAACGCUUGAAGACCGCCUUCAUCACACCAUUCGGAGCUUUCUGUUACCUGACUAUGACAUUCAGCUUGAGGAAUGCCGGUGCCACUUUUCAGCGUUGCAUGCAGAAAUGCCUCCUCAAGCAACUCGGCAGAAAUGCCCACGUCUGCGUAGACGACAUUGUGGUGAAGACAGAGAAGCGCGGCACCCUGCUGGAAGACCUCAAAGAAACAUUCGCCAACUUGCGCCGAUUCCAGAUCAAGCUCAACCCCGAGAAAUGCGUGUUCGGAGUACCAGCCGGCCAGCUUCUAGGCUUUCUGGUCUCCGAACACGGCAUCGAGUGCAACCCUGUGAAGAUCAAGGCCAUUGAGAGAAUGGAGAUUCCAACCAAGUUGCAAGACGUGUAG
rnacentral:rRNA from 1 species